rnacentral:rRNA from 1 species
UACGUAGGGUGCGAGCGUUGUCCGGAAUUAUUGGGCGUAAAGAGCUCGUAGGCGGUCUGUCGCGUCGAUCGUGAAAACUUGGGGCUUAACCCUGAGCUUGCGGUCGAUACGGGCAUGACUGGAGUUCGGCAGGGGAGACUGGAAUUCCUGGUGUAGCGGUGAAAUGCGCAGAUAUCAGGAAGAACACCAAUGGCGAAAGCAGCUCUCUGGGACGGUACUGACGCUGAGACGCGAAAGCGUGGGGAGCGAAACAGG